AUUCAACACGUGUUAACUUGCGGUGGUCAGACAACCACUUCAGUGAGUCGCCUGGAGAUGGCGGUCAAACCCCACAAAUGAUUCUGCUAGGCGCCUGUUGGGGCAGCGUCUGGUGUCGGAAUAGUUAACGUGGGGCCGCCCUGGCUUCAGUGACUUUCUUUAUUUUUUAAGAAAAAAUAAGAACCGACUGAGCAGCAGGAGGGGUGGGAUGCAGAACUGAACAGGACAUACUGAAGGAGAAAAUAGAGGGAACGCUAAUGCUACAAAAUAUGGAGUCUUGCCCGAUGUACAUGGUCGGGGUUUUGAGCAGGACCGCAGCGAUUGUGCUCUGUCUUUUGGGAUGCAAUGUGUGGAAAGCGGUAACCAAAACCCUGCAAGAUGACAACGCUCUAAAAGGUAGGUAGCUGAUACAAAUGGUUCACUUUAUUCAAAGUACUUGUGAGAUGUUAUGCCCAAUAUGUUCGUCUUGCUAGCUAGCUACUUGUAUAGCUAGCGAUAACUUGGCGUUGGUGGCUUAUGUGCUAACUUCAGAUAGUUAUCUAGCUACGUUAGUUAGCUUUUCAAUUGGCUAGUUAUAUAACGUUCAUUUGGCUGUCCUUUUCAGACACAAAACUGUAUACAUACGUUAUCUCUCUGUGGUUGUUCAUGUUUAAUUUAGCCAAUGUAUUAUAUCAUUUGAAUGGUUUGAAGUGCUUUUGUGUCUCACAACGUGUCCUCAACUGAAACAAAAACAUCUUACCUAGCUAGAUAGCUAGACCUAACUGGUAAUGCAUGUUGUUGGCAAGAGGCUAGCUAACAUUAGCUAGUUAGCUAACGUUAGUUGAUGCUAAGUUCUUCUGCAGCCUCUCAAUUGUAAUGGAUGAUUUUGGUGCAAGCCUUAGCUAAAACAUGUUUUACUUGUCCUUAUUCAGAUGAGGUGGAAACGUAAUUUGAGCAUGUUUUUUUGAUGCAAUGUAUCAUUGUGUAAUGGAUUGUUUUCAGACCAGCAGUAUUCCUCGAUAGAGAUAACGUUCUUGCAUUUUGUGUAUGAAUUUGACCACGUAUGCAGGAUAUUCCUCCAGACAUGAUUAUAAGCUAGAUGCUGCAGAUGUGAGUGGAAGGAGGAAUCUCUCACACACCACCAUCUCUCAUAAAUGAGUGAAAGGCAGUAUAUGACAGGUGGCUUUUGCUUCACUGCCUCUUCCUUCACUGCCUUCCUGCCUCCUGUUGAAUUGGGGGCAGUGCUGGAAAUGGUUUAGGCUGGGCCCAGCGAACCUAUUUGUAUCAUUCUGUGGUUUUAUUCGUUGUUACAGACAUGAGUGAAAUGGCAACACACAGUAAAGCGUAGUUAGAAUCACUGCAGAUGUAUUUCAUUCAUCCACUCCAAAGCGUUCUCUUUUUUUAAAGAGAAGAGUGCUUCCAAGACUAGCCGUAUCUGUUUCUCUCAUGUACUCACUCACUUAUUCUCACACACACACUACUUUGCUUGGAGAACUGUGCGGCUCUGUUUUGCUGCUUCAGUUUUCAUUCUAAUUUUGUUUGUUAAUCAUAUUGCUGUGACUGAGUGUGUGCGUGUAGUUGUGUGAGGCCCUAACCAAACAGUAAUUUAUUAGACUAAUUUGUGUGUACUUGUCUGUCUGUAACUAAAUAUUAAGUGUCCCCAACUAUCACGAGAUGUCAACACAUGACGUAGGUGCCUAUUAAGUUCCUUAGAGAAAAUUAUUGAUGCCUUCUGAGCAUCUCAACUCAGUAUUUUGAUUGACCCCCCCACCCCUCUGUUUCUCUCUCUCUCUCCCUCUCUCUCUCUCUCUCUCUAAAAAACCUUCAGACCCUCCCUGGGGCUCUUGUUGAUACUGAGGGCUUCUUCUCGUCUCUCAUCUCCUCACACAUAGCUAGCUAUAUAUAUGGAGGCAGACAGACGACACAUAGUUAGCAACAUGGAUGCAGACACAUAAUUAUAGAUCCAACUCUCAUUUCUGCAACCCAUAAUACACUACAGCUGGGAACAGGCUCACUGCAGCCAGGGCUAGAGGACAGGGUGCCAGGAAGACCAAAUCAUGUUGAAGUGU
rnacentral:lncRNA from 13 species